UUCAAAGUCCAUUUGUAAAGUUAUGAUGUUAUUUACUGUGGCAUUUAAUUUUAUGUGUCAACUUGGCUGGGUCACGAUGACCUGAUACCUGGUCAAACAUUAUUCUGGGUAUUUCUGUCAGGGUGUUUUUGGAUGAGAUUAACAUUUUAAUUGGUGGACUCUGAGUAACACAGAAUGCCUUCCAUAAAUGCAGGUGGGCCUAAUGUUAUCAGCUGAAGCCCAGAAUAGAAAAAAAGACUGACCAUCCCUAAACGAGAGGGAAUUCUGCGAACAGAUGGCCUUUGGACUGGAACAGCAACAUUAGAUUUUCCACGAAUCUCAAGUCUGACCUCCAGCCCACUCUGUAGAUUUUGAACCGGUGUUCAUGCCCCAGGGCAGUGUACCACAGUAAGACUGGCACAAGGUGAAAGGAGCAGUGACCUGAUGGGAGUUAUCUAGCUUAUCUGUCAUGGAACUGGGGUGUUAUGAUGACUCAUGCGGGACAAACAUUAAGGAAGGAAGGAAGGAAGGAAGGAAGGAAGGAAGGAAGGCAUGAAAACAGAGAAAUGGAGUCAGUGCCCGAGGGCAGAAACCUGUGUGGUCGACAGUCACGCAGCCUCGGGCAGAGCGAGGAAGAAUGUUUUCAGCAUCCUCAGAGGUCUUCGAUGCUGUCAGUUUUCUGCGUGUCUUUGAGCUCCAAUUCUCUCACCCUGGGCACAGCAAGGCCCUCUGAGGGAAACUAAUGCUGCUGCCUAAAUGUUAUGGCUGAAAUCAUGGUGCGUGUUCACCCCCAGGGUCAUAUUAUUUCUGAUUUAAUCAUAAUAAUAAUAGAAAUAGCAGUGAUUAUAAAAAUAAUAAUCUCCAUGAUUUAUUGGGUGAUUAGUAUGUACUGGCACGUGAUGUACUUUAUCUUAUCAAUUUUUGCUCAGAUCCUCUUAAGUAGGCCCUAUUCACUCCAUUUUACAAAGGAGGCGAUAGACGCUUGCAGAGAUUUGAUGAUUGGCCAAUGUCACACCACUAGUACGCGGCAAAGCUAGGAUUUGAACUUCCAUCUGCACGAUCCAGCAUAUCUGCUCAACCACAAGACGUUUGUUUUAUGGAAUUGGCCGGACGACUUUUAGAUCUGAGGGAGUGCUUUCCCUAGGGAGUUGUAUCUCCCUCUCUUUUCAAAAUUCCUGUGUUUUCUGAAACCGAUUUAUAUUAUCUUGUUAUUCCAGAGACCUGCAGAGAAGCCAGGCGAAAGAUAGUAACCUUUCUCUUAAAAAAAUGUUUUUUGAAGAUAAUAGGGAAAGUAUAACAAUGUCUAAAUUGAAAGCACUCAUAUUUCUAUUUGCAUGCCACCUGGAUACAAGCUAAUGUUAAUGGGCCCCAAAUCCAUGCAUUGUAAGUGUGUUUGCACUUCUAUCUUCAGAAGAUAUUAUUUAAGAAAACUCUUAAGUAAAUCAAAGUGUAAACAAAAUCUAGCUUUCAUAUUGUAAAAUGCAGAAUGGGAAAUAAAAACCUAAUUGUGAAAGGCAGACAUUUAUUUACUUAGUACGACAUUAUAAUCACUGUGAUUUAGACCAGGGGCUUUACUUAAAUGAGAACAAAACCUCGGGAAUAUAAGUCCAACUCUUUAAUUUGCUAAUUACAUUUCCUGGUGAUAGAAUGAGGCUUAUCAUCUGUGUGGGUGGUGUUUUAUUAUGUUAUUUUAUUAAUAUGUGAAGA